GACGAACGCUGGCGGCGUGCUUAACACAUGCAAGUCGAACGGAAAGGCCCUGCUUUUGUGGGGUGCUCGAGUGGCGAACGGGUGAGUAACACGUGAGUAACCUGCCCUUGACUUUGGGAUAACUUCAGGAAACUGGGGCUAAUACCGGAUAGGAGCUCCUGCUGCAUGGUGGGGGUUGGAAAGUUUCGGCGGUUGGGGAUGGACUCGCGGCUUAUCAGCUUGUUGGUGGGGUAGUGGCUUACCAAGGCUUUGACGGGUAGCCGGCCUGAGAGGGUGACCGGCCACAUUGGGACUGAGAUACGGCCCAGACUCCUACGGGAGGCAGCAGUGGGGAAUAUUGCACAAUGGGCGGAAGCCUGAUGCAGCAACGCCGCGUGCGGGAUGACGGCCUUCGGGUUGUAAACCGCUUUCGCCUGUGACGAAGCGUGAGUGACGGUAAUGGGUAAAGAAGCACCGGCUAACUACGUGCCAGCAGCCGCGGUGAUACGUAGGGUGCGAGCGUUGUCCGGAUUUAUUGGGCGUAAAGGGCUCGUAGGUGGUUGAUCGCGUCGGAAGUGUAAUCUUGGGGCUUAACCCUGAGCGUGCUUUCGAUACGGGUUGACUUGAGGAAGGUAGGGGAGAAUGGAAUUCCUGGUGGAGCGGUGGAAUGCGCAGAUAUCAGGAGGAACACCAGUGGCGAAGGCGGUUCUCUGGGCCUUUCCUGACGCUGAGGAGCGAAAGCGUGGGGAGCGAACAGGCUUAGAUACCCUGGUAGUCCACGCUGUAAACGGUGGGUACUAGGUGUGGGGUCCAUUCCACGGGUUCCGUGCCGUAGCUAACGCUUUAAGUACCCCGCCUGGGGAGUACGGCCGCAAGGCUAAAACUCAAAGGAAUAGACGGGGCCCCGCACAAGCGGCGGAGCAUGCGGAUUAAUUCGAUGCAACGCGUAGAACCUUACCUGGGUUUGACAUGGAUCGGGAGUGCUCAGAGAUGGGUGUGCCUCUUUUGGGGUCGGUUCACAGGUGGUGCAUGGCUGUCGUCAGCUCGUGUCGUGAGAUGUUGGGUUAAGUCCCGCAACGAGCGCAACCCUUGUUCACUGUUGCCAGCACGUUAUGGUGGGGACUCAGUGGAGACCGCCGGGGUCAACUCGGAGGAAGGUGGGGAUGACGUCAAGUCAUCAUGCCCCUUAUGUCCAGGGCUUCACGCAUGCUACAAUGGCUGGUACAGAGAGUGGCGAGCCUGUGAGGGUGAGCGAAUCUCGGAAAGCCGGUCUCAGUUCGGAUUGGGGUCUGCAACUCGACCUCAUGAAGUCGGAGUCGCUAGUAAUCGCAGAUCAGCAACGCUGCGGGGAAUAUGUUCCCGGG
rnacentral:rRNA from 1 species